rnacentral:rRNA from 1 species
UUCCGGUUGAUCCCGCCGGACCUGACUGCUAUCGGAUUGAUACUAAGCCAUGCGAGUCUUUGUAGUAAUACAAGGCAGACGGCUCAGUAACACGUAGUCAACCUACCCUAUGGACGAGAAUAAUCUCGGGAAACUGAGCAUAAUUCUUGAUAGAUCAUAAUGCCUGGAAUGGUUUAUGGUUAAAAUGAUUCGUCGCCAUAGGAUGGGACUGCGGCCUAUCAGCUUGUUGGUGAGGUAAUGGCCCACCAAGGCGAUUACAGGUACGGGCUCUGAGAGGAGAAGCCCGGAGAUGGGUACUGAGACAAGGACCCAGGCCCUAUGGGGCGCAGCAGGCGAGAAAACUUUGCAAUGUGCGAAAGCACGACAAGGUUAAUCCGAGUGAUUUCUGCUAAAGAAAUCUUUUGCAAGUCAUAAAACCACUAGUGAAUAAGGGGUGGGCAAGUUCUGGUGUCAGCCGCCGCGGUAAAACCAGCACCUCAAGUGGUCAGGAGGAUUAUUGGGCCUAAAGCAUCCGUAGCCGGCUCUGUAAGUUUUCGGUUAAAUCCAUGUGCUCAACGCAUGGGCUGCCGAAAAUACUGCAUAGCUAGGGAGUGGGAGAGGUAGACGGUACUCGGUAGGAAGGGGUAAAAUCCUUUGAUCUAUCGAUGACCACCUGUGGCGAAGGCGGUCUACCAGAACACGUUCGACGGUGAGGGAUGAAGCUGGGGGAGCAAACCGGAUUAGAUACCCGGGUAGUCCCAGCUGUAAACGAUGCAGACUCGAUGAUGCAUUGGCAUAAUAGCCAGUGCAGUGUCGCAGGGAAGCCGUUAAGUCUGCCGCCUGGGAAGUACGUACGCAAGUAUGAAACUUAAAGGAAUUGGCGGGGGAGCACCACAAGGGGUGAAGCCUGCGGUUCAAUUGGAUUCAACGCCGGG